CUCGAGAUAUUAAAUAUUAAUAGAGUAAUUGUACAUUCCUCAUGCAACCAAAUCACUGUGAUCAGUCGAGAAUGAUAAAUGCCAAGAAGGCACCCGCAUCUCUACAACAAUAGAAGACCUCUAGACUUAAUAUUUAGUGAGAAGAUUUAGGUUUAGAUCUCUUCUAAAUCAGCAGAUCUAACAUCUGACUAAUUAAAUUCAGGUU
rnacentral:lncRNA from 1 species